UACUCUUGGUAUGCUAUGGUUCCCACUAGG
rnacentral:piRNA from 1 species